rnacentral:rRNA from 1 species
AAAGCCUCUAGAUAGAAAAUAGGUGCCCGUACCGCAAACCGACACAGGUAGUCAAGAUGAGAAUUCUAAGGUGAGCGAGCGAACUCUCGUUAAGGAACUCGGCAAAAUGACCCCGUAACUUCGGGAGAAGGGGUGCUCUUUAGGGUUAACGCCCAGAAGAGCCGCAGUGAAUAGGCCCAAGCGACUGUUUAUCAAAAACACAGGUCUCUGCUAAACCGUAAGGUGAUGUAUAGGGGCUGACGCCUGCCCGGUGCUGGAAGGUUAAGAGGAGUGGUUAGCUUCUGCGAAGCUACGAAUCGAAGCCCCAGUAAACGGCGGCCGUAACUAUAACGGUCCUAAGGUAGCGAAAUUCCUUGUCGGGUAAGUUCCGACCCGCACGAAAGGCGUAACGAUUUGGGCACUGUCUCAACGAGAGACUCGGUGAAAUCAUAGUACCUGUGAAGAUGCAGGUUACCCGCGACAGGACGGAAAGACCCCGUGGAGCUUUACUGUAGCCUGAUAUUGAAAUUCGGCACAGCUUGUACAGGAUAGGUAGGAGCCUUUGAAACGUGAGCGCUAGCUUACGUGGAGGCGCUGGUGGGAUACUACCCUAGCUGUGUUGGCUUUCUAACCCGCACCACUUAUCGUGGUGGGAGACAGUGUCAGGCGGGCAGUUUGACUGGGGCGGUCGCCUCCUAAAAGGUAACGGAGGCGCUCAAAGGUUCCCUCAGAAUGGUUGGAAAUCAUUCAUAGAGUGUAAAGGCAUAAGGGAGCUUGACUGCGAGACCUACAAGUCGAGCAGGGUCGAAAGACGGACUUAGUGAUCCGGUGGUUCCGCAUGGAAGGGCCAUCGCUCAACGGAUAAAAGCUACCCCGGGGAUAACAGGCUUAUCUCCCCCAAGAGUUCACAUCGACGGGGAGGUUUGGCACCUCGAUGUCGGCUCAUCGCAUCCUGGGGCUGUAGUCGGUCCCAAGGGUUGGGCUGUUCGCCCAUUAAAGCGGUACGCGAGCUGGGUUCAGAACGUCGUGAGACAGUUCGGUCCCUAUCCGUCGUGGGCGUAGGAAAUUUGAGAGGAGCUGUCCUUAGUACGAGAGGACCGGGAUGGACAUACCUCUGGUGUACCAGUUGUCGUGCCAACGGCAUAGCUGGGUAGCUAUGUGUGGACGGGAUAAGUGCUGAAAGCAUCUAAGCAUGAAGCCCCCCUCAAGAUGAGAUUUCCCAACUUCGGUUAUAAGAUCCCUCAAAGAUGAUGAGGUUAAUAGGUUCGAGGUGGAAGCAUGGUGACAUGUGGAGCUGACGAAUACUAA